GAGUUUAUACGGCGAAUGAUCUCACUUAAACUCAUCACCCCGACAUCAUAAAUAACCUUGCAACAGUUAACGCAGGUGAAUUACUGAACAUAGAUCUGAUCAGCAUUCGGCAAAAACCAUAACUAUUCAAAUGAUAACAUACCUAAUUCAUCUGAAUUCGACAUCCUUAAAUCCAAAACAAGGAAGCGUUUUAACUGGAGCAAGAGUAAAAGUGUAAAACCCAAAACAUCCCUCAAGUCCAAUCCCCUCCCUCAUUACUUCCCAACUUCAACUAUAAUAACGAUUAUGCUCGAUUUCAAUUUAAGAUACAAAAAUAUUAAAUACUAAUGGAGUUUACCUCGAUUAUUAUUCUAACCCCAAAAUGUGCCAAAAAGACGAGAGUAAAAA
rnacentral:lncRNA from 1 species